rnacentral:rRNA from 1 species
GGCCUGGCUGGGCGGUCUGCCUCACGGUACGUACUGUCCGGCUGGGUCUUACCUCUUGGUGAGCGGGCAUGCCCUUCACUGGGUGUGUUCGUGAACCAGGACUUUUACUUUGAGAAAAUUAGAGUGUUCAAAGCAGGCAUGUUUGUCUGAAUACAUUAGCAUGGAAUAAUAGAAUAGGACAUGCGGUUCUAUUUUGUUGGUUUCUAGAGUCGCUGUA